rnacentral:rRNA from 1 species
CAGUAGCCGCGGUAAUACGGAGGAUCCAAGCGUUAUCCGGAAUCAUUGGGUUUAAAGGGUCCGUAGGCGGUCUUGUAAGUCAGUGGUGAAAGCCCAUCGCUCAACGGUGGAACGGCCAUUGAUACUGCAGUACUUGAAUUAUUGGGAAGUAACUAGAAUAUGUAGUGUAGCGGUGAAAUGCUUAGAGAUUACAUGGAAUACCAAUUGCGAAGGCAGGUUACUACCAAUUGAUUGACGCUGAUGGACGAAAGCGUGGGUAGCGAACAGGAUUAGAUACCCCAGUAGUCCCUGUCUCUUAUAU